UGUGAGGGUGAGCUGUUAAAAGGACCUGUUUAAAAAUAAUUAGGAGAUUCUCCCACCACUCAAAGGGAGUGGUGGAGGGAGUAAAGCCUUGGGCUCUGACAUGAAAGAAAGGGCUGCAAUUAACGAAGAAACAACAAAAGAAGAAGGAAUCAACAAAUCCCUUUAAAUUAACACACCUUUCUUAUGGCCUUUAGGUAUUUUGAGAUCAUGUAGAAAAUAUUUAUGGAAAACCCCUGUAGCACAACCUAAGAACUCCAUAUCAAAUUCUUUUCAACUGCAGGUCACCAAGAUUAAUGCUCCCCCGCAUGAACACUUCUGCCAACUUUGAACAUGAGCACCCCCUGAAAAAG